GACGAACGCUGGCGGCGUGCUUAACACAUGCAAGUCGAACGGUGAAGCGCCUUCCUUUUUGGUGGGUGUGGAUGAGUGGCGAACGGGUGAGUAACACGUGAGUAACCUGCCCCCUUCUUCUGGAUAACCGCAUGAAAGUGUGGCUAAUACGGGAUAUUCUGGGUCUGUCGCAUGAUGGGUCUGGGAAAGAUAUUGUUUCGGUGGGGGAUGGGCUCGCGGCCUAUCAGCUUGUUGGUGGGGUGAUGGCCUACCAAGGCGGUGACGGGUAGCCGGCCUGAGAGGGUGGACGGUCCCACUGGGAAGGAGACACGGCCAAGACUCCUACGGGAGGCAGCAGUGGGGAAUAUUGCACAAUGGGCGCAAGCCUGAUGCAGCGACGCCGCGUGAGGGAUGGAGGCCUGCGGGUUGUGAACCUCUUUCGCCAGUGAAGCAGGCCUGCCUCGUUUGUGGGUGGGUUGACGGUAGCUGGAUAAGAAGCGCCGGCUAACUACGUG
rnacentral:rRNA from 1 species